rnacentral:rRNA from 1 species
CAGUAGCCGCGGGAAUACGUAGGGUGCGAGCGUUAAUCGGAAUUACUGGGGGUAAAGCGUGCGCAGGCGGUUGUGUAAGACAGGUGCGAAAUCCCCGGGCUUAACCUGGGAACUGCGCUUGUGACUGCACAGCUAGAGUAUGGCAGAGGGGGGUGGAAUUCCACGUGUAGCAGUGAAAUGCGUAGAGAUGUGGAGGAACACCGAUGGCGAAGGCAGCCCCCUGGGCCAAUACUGACGCUCAUGCACGAAAGCGUGGGGAGCAAGCAGGAUUAGAUACCCCAGUAGUCCCUGUCUCUUAUAA